GCAGUCGUACGUGAAGUCCCGCAAGGGACAAGUAAAGUGGCGACCGGGUGAGUAAUACAUAGGUAACCUACUUAUAAGUUGGGAAUAACAGUUCGAAAGGACUGCUAAUACCGAAUAUUAUAUUAUAACACAAGUUGUAAUAUCAAAGAUGGCCUCUUUACAAUGCUAUCGCUUAUAAAUGGGCUUAUGAACCAUUAGCUAGUUGGUGGAGUAAUAGCCUACCAAGGCAAUGAUGGUUAGCUGGUCUGAGAGGAUGAUCAGCCACACUGGAACUGAAACACGGUCCAGACUCCUACGGGAGGCAGCAGUGGGGAAUAUUGCGCAAUGGGGGAAACCCUGACGCAGCAACGCCGCGUGAGCGAUGAAGGCCUUCGGGUUGUAAAGCUCUGUCAGAUGGGAAGAAACCCCAUUACUCUAAUACAGUUAUGGAUUGACGGUACCAUCAAAGGAAGCACCGGCUAACUCCGUGCCAGCAGCCGCGGUAAUACGGAGGGUGCAAGCGUUGUUCGGAAUUACUGGGCGUAAAGGGCGCGUAGGCGGUAUAAUAAGUUAGGUGUGAAAUCUUCGGGCUUAACCCGAAAAGUGCACUUAAAACUGUUAUACUAGAGUUCGGGAGGGGAAAGCGGAAUUCCUAGUGUAGAGGUGAAAUUUGUAGAUAUUAGGAAGAACACCGGUGGCGAA
rnacentral:rRNA from 1 species